UGGGCCACACAGCAACUCAUGUCUGCCGGGCGCGGUCGCUCAAGCCUGUAAUCCCAGCACUUUGGGAGGCCGAGGCGGGUGGAUCACGAGGUCAAGAGAUCGAGACCAUCCUGGUCAACAUGGUGAA